rnacentral:rRNA from 1 species
CCUACGGGAGGCAGCAGUAGGGAAUCUUCCACAAUGGACGAAAGUCUGAUGGAGCAACGCCGCGUGAGUGAAGAAGGGUUUCGGCUCGUAAAACUCUGUUGUUAAAGAAGAACAUAUCUGAGAGUAACUGUUCAGGUAUUGACGGUAUU